UGGGGAAUAUUGCGCAAUGGGCGAAAGCCUGACGCAGCGACGCCGCGUGAGGGACGAAGGCCUUCGGGUUGUAAACCUCUUUCAGCAGGGACGAAGCGAAAGUGACGGUACCUGCAGAAGAAGCACCGGCCAACUACGUGCCAGCAGCCGCGGUAAUACGUAGGGUGCAAGCGUUGUCCGGAAUUAUUGGGCGUAAAGAGCUCGUAGGCGGUUUGUCGCGUCGGCUGUGAAAACCCGGGGCUCAACCCCGGGCCUGCAGUCGAUACGGGCAGACUAGAGUGUGGUAGGGGAGACUGGAAUUCCUGGUGUAGCGGUGAAAUGCGCAGAUAUCAGGAGGAACACCGGUGGCGAAGGCGGGUCUCUGGGCCAUAACUGACGCUGAGGAGCGAAAGCGUGGGGAGCGAACA
rnacentral:rRNA from 1 species